rnacentral:rRNA from 1 species
AUUGAACGCUGGCGGCAUGCUUUACACAUGCAAGUCGAACGGCAGCGCGGGCUUCGGCCUGGCGGCGAGUGGCGAACGGGUGAGUAAUACAUCGGAACGUGCCCAGUAGUGGGGGAUAGCUCGGCGAAAGCCGGAUUAAUACCGCAUACGACCUGAGGGUGAAAGCGGGGGAUCUUCGGACCUCGCGCUAUUGGAGCGGCCGAUGGCAGAUUAGCUAGUUGGUGGGGUAAAGGCCUACCAAGGCGACGAUCUGUAGCUGGUCUGAGAGGACGACCAGCCACACUGGGACUGAGACACGGCCCAGACUCCUACCGGAGGCAGCAGUGGGGAAUUUUGGACAAUGGGCGAAAGCCUGAUCCAGCAAUGCCGCGUGUGUGAUGAAGGCCUUCGGGUUGUAAAGCACUUUUGGCGGGAACGAAAAGGACUGUGCCAAUACCACGGUUCGAUGACGGUACCCGCAGAAUAAGCACCGGCUAACUACGUG